UACGAACACAACAAGGUUUUGAAACAUCAAGAGGUUGAUAAAAAUCAAUUAGAUCUUCAAUGCUCCUCACUUUCUUUCUUACUAAAAGCUUUGCCAGAGCUGACUGGAGAGCAUUUUUCCUGCCAAUCAGAAACUUCUCCGCAUCACCACCAACCAAUGAGAUUUCCUGCCCAAAUAGAAUGUCAUACACUAUUAUGUAGAUCAGUUCCUCUUGCCUCUUCCACUUGCUAUUUAGUAUGGCAGCAGACUCCAAGACAUUCUUAAUAAUGGGUAAAUGCUUAAGGGUUUGGCAGACGAGAGCGAAAGUCGCCUUUUUGUUCUUAACGGAAGGGCCAUAGACGAGGGAUCUGAUGGAGCCAACAGCUUGGCGCUGGGCG
rnacentral:misc_RNA from 1 species